GAACAGUUGAGGUAAUACACUGAGUAGGGGCAGUUGUGUAGAGAUCUCCAAACAAGGCUGCAGUCCUCCCUUAGUUCCAUCGCAAUUAGAGCACCAUAGUAGCUGAGGACUCCAAAAGCAGUGAUGAAGGAUGGGCUGUGGGAUCCACACUGACUACAACAUCCUGAAGAACAACAGUUACUGCUAGGUGUCACUGGAAUCAGAGGAGAUACAAGAUGAGAGGUUGAGAGAAAGGAAAUAGCUGAAUAGCAC